UACGGAGGGUGCAAGCGUUAUCCGGAUUUACUGGGUUUAAAGGGUGUGUAGGCGGGCUUUUAAGUCAGUGGUGAAAUCUCCGGGCUCAACCUGGAAACUGCCAUUGAUACUAUUAGUCUUGAAUUUUGUUGAGGUAGGCGGAAUAAGUCAUGUAGCGGUGAAAUGCAUAGAUAUGACUUAGAACACCAAUUGCGAAGGCAGCUUGCUAAACAAAUAUUGACGCUGAGGCACGAAAACGUGGGGAUCAAACAGG
rnacentral:rRNA from 1 species